GACCCUGUCUCAACAAACAAACAAACACGCAAACAAACAAACUCCUUGGGUAAUGACCCAGCGGUCACCCAUCGUGAUCAAUUUUUCCGUGGGACUGAACCACUGUCAUUUUCUGGUGCUUUAUAACAGCUUACAAAGUGUUUCCGCAGUUACUUUCUCAUUUGCUUUUCCCCAGUGCUCACGGCGUUAGUGGCGGUGUAUAGAUGCAGAAGCCAAGAGAGGUUAAGUCAUUUGCCCAAAGUUACAGAGGAAGGGGAGACCUGGACCUGAGCCCCAGUCCUUGGCCUCUGCUCUCACACUUUCCCAAGUCCCUGCUGUGGGGACUUUGGUGGCAGCGGGCCAAGGCAGUUCCGGGCACCUGGGCUGAUUGUGUGACUGUGAGUUUGGUAAGCCGAGCCUGGGAGGUGUUUGCAAUGCCCUGAGCUGGCUCCUGGGAAUGCAUUCUGUGCCAUGCAGGGCCGUGUUGCAACGUGACUAAUGGAUGAGAAGGUUGAGGAGGAAAGCCAUUACUUCACCAAUGUGAAUCAAGGUCAUUAGUCACCUCGGGAAGCACACGGAGCUGCGACAUUCAGGAGGGAGGCACGCUGCCCCCAAGCCAAGCCACGAUGUGGCCUGGCGCCGAUCCCAUGCAGCAGGGAGAAGGGAAGUUUCUGGAAGCGAAGAUGAGCUGGGCAGCCAGGCCCAGGGCCCUGGCUGUGCAUGCAUCAGCCCCCUCUGAGAAAAAGAGUUUUGCCCAAGAGUGGGGCAAUGGUGCAGUUUCCAGGAGGCGCUGGCAGGAGCUGACUGGCCACUGAUACUGGCUGGGGUCUCUGGAGGACAGUGACUGGAGGAUCAGUGGACUCUGACCCUCUCCUGUCACCUGAGGAAAUCAGGCCAAUCGUGAGCCACCAGAGUGUCCUCACCGAGACGGCCUCUCUCCCUGGUGUAACAAGCCACAUUUGCUGCUUUUCUGGGAGAGUGAGGAGCAACCACGUGGGUGACUUCUUUUCAAAGUUCUCUGCCUCAGAGGAGGAAGCCCCGUGGGUGGAGGCCAGGCCUGAGGCCAUCCUGCUCUGGGCCAGAGCAUGCUUGUGUCUGAUGAGCGAGGACACGCCUCGUCUGGCUGAGGCUUCCAUUUCACACUGGCGGUUCGAACCCCCAUCACGGCUUCCUUUUGGGCUCCCGUCCUCAGGGGCCCGGGCCUGAAAUGUGCUUGCCCUUCAUCCCUCAGGAUGUGUCCCUUCCUCAGAGAGGACUAAGUUAGCCCCUCCCCUAGUCUCCAUGUGCUCCAAAGCCCUUCCUAUUCACAGAAACUGUCUGGCCUAUUUAUUUGCUUGCUUGCUUGCUUCUGAUGUCUUCUCUUACUGAAAGGAAUCGAAGGGCCAAGGAAUGUGUUUUUCGUUGAUGUCAACUUGCUGCAAAGGACCACACCUGCUUCUCGACCCGGGAACGUGGGAAAGGGAAAGGCACGGCUUGUUUUGGUGGAGAUGGAGGAGCUGGUAACAGUGGAGGAAUGCCCUUCUUCUGAUUCACAGUGGGGAGGUGCUCUGGGCCCCUGCCACUGCCCGAGGACUUCGGGUGAGGUUACCAGGACCGUCAGCCUGAGGAGAAUCAGCUCUUCCACACCAAAUCCUGAAGAUGACAUGGCAGAGUGAGCCAGAGCGAGGGUCUUGCUCCAUUGUCCAGCUAGAGUGCAGUGGCAAGAUGAUGGCUCACUACAGCCUCCAUCUCUUGGGCUUAAGAGCCCUCCCCCAUGGCUCAGCCUGCCCUGAGGCCAGUCCUCGUACAUGGUGCAUGGCUGCCUUCAAGACAUCUCCAAGGAGCCCUCGCUGAGAAGCCCCCUGGUGCACACAUAAAAUCACGUUGCUAUUUAGUUGAAUUUCUUCAUUGUACAGGUUAAGAAAUGGAAGAUGUGACUCUCAAGGAUUAUACACAACUAAAACUGUGUGAAACGGCGAUCAGUACCCGGGCAACAGGGAAGUGGGAAUUUCUCACCAACCCACAUGCCAGGAUCCAGCCUCAACGCUUGUGAGGAUCCAGCCUCAAUGCUCUGCACAUCUCCAGUGUGGAACAGCACCAUGCGCCUAAUGAGUUCUUCUCUGACUGAUUGAUUGAUUGAUUACUAAAACACUCAGCACUCCUGGCAAAGCAGUUCUCACACUGUUGAACAAAUUAUCUUUAUGCACUGCAGUCUCUUGAGCUUAGAUGAAGGCAAACUCACUGUAAUCUUCAGAUCAUUUAGCAAUGCCUUGGAAUCACUGGAUAUGAGAAAAUAUCCAGGCAUGUGGAAUAUGAAGGGGGAAGAAAAGCAGGACUUGGAGGGACUGUGCUAGUGGAUUUCAACUCUGUAUUUUCUAAAAUGAACCAGGGGCAGGCAAACUACUACCUUGUAGGCCAAAUCUGGCCAGUGACCUGUUUUAUCAUUGAUUGAUUGAUUGACGGGGUCUUGUCUUGCUCUGUCAUCCAGGCUGGAGUGCAUUGG